rnacentral:rRNA from 1 species
AGAGUUUGAUCCUGGCUCAGAGCGAACGCUGGCGGCAGGCUUAACACAUGCAAGUCGAGCGGGUGUAGCAAUACAUCAGCGGCAGACGGGUGAGUAACGCGUGGGAACGUACCUUUUGGUUCGGAACAACCCAGGGAAACUUGGACUAAUACCGGAUAAGCCCUUACGGGGAAAGAUUUAUCGCCGAAAGAUCGGCCCGCGUCUGAUUAGCUAGUUGGUGAGGUAAUGGCUCACCAAGGCGACGAUCAGUAGCUGGUCUGAGAGGAUGAUCAGCCACAUUGGGACUGAGACACGGCCCAAACUCCUACGGGAGGCAGCAGUGGGGAAUAUUGGACAAUGGGGGCAACCCUGAUCCAGCCAUGCCGCGUGAGUGAUGAAGGCCCUAGGGUUGUAAAGCUCUUUUGUGCGGGAAGAUAAUGACGGUACCGCAAGAAUAAGCCCCGGCUAACUUCGUGCCAGCAGCCGCGGUAAUACGAAGGGGGCUAGCGUUGCUCGGAAUCACUGGGCGUAAAGGGUGCGUAGGCGGGUCUUUAAGUCAGGGGUGAAAUCCUGGAGCUCAACUCCAGAACUGCCUUUGAUACUGAAGAUCUUGAGUCCGGGAGAGGUGAGUGGAACUGCGAGUGUAGAGGUGAAAUUCGUAGAUAUUCGCAAGAACACCAGUGGCGAAGGCGGCUCACUGGCCCGGUACUGACGCUGAGGCACGAAAGCGUGGGGAGCAAACAGGAUUAGAUACCCCGGUAGUCC